rnacentral:tRNA from 1 species
GAGGGCAGAGCUCAGUGGCAGAGUGCAUGCCUGGCAUGCACGAGGUCCUGGGUUCAACCCUCAGUGCCUCUG